rnacentral:rRNA from 1 species
UACGUAGGUGGCAAGCGUUGUCCGGAAUUACUGGGUGUAAAGCGCGUGUAGGCGGGAGGCCAAGUCUGCUGUGAAAUCGCUCGGCUCAACUGGGCGGGGUCGGUGGAAACUGGUCACCUGGAGGACGGUAGAGGCGAGUGGAAUUCCCGGUGUAGUGGUGAAAUGCGUAGAGAUCGGGAGGAACACCAGUGGCGAAGGCGGCUCGCUGGGCCGGUCCUGACGCUGAGGAGCGAAAGCGUGGGGAGCGAACAGG